GACAGAGGUGCCAAGCGUUAGGCGGAAUCACUGGGCUUAAAGCGUGUGUAGGCGGAAUGGUAAGUACCUUGUGAAAUCCCACGGCUCAACCGUGGAACUGCUGGGUAUACUGCUUUUCUUGAGCCACUUAGGGGCUGUCGGAAUAAACGGUGGAGCGGUGAAAUGCGUAGAUAUCGUUUGGAACGCCAAUGGUGAAAACAGACAGCUGGGAGUGUGCUGACGCUGAGACACGAAAGCCAGGGGAGCGAACGGG
rnacentral:rRNA from 1 species